rnacentral:rRNA from 1 species
CCUACGGGGUGCAGCAGUGGGGAAUAUUGCACAAUAGGGGGAACCCUGAUGCAGCGACGCCGCGUGAGUGAAGAAGUAUUUCGGUAUGUAAAGCUCUAUCAGCAGGGAAGAAAAUGACGGUACCUGACUAAGACGCCCCGGCUAACUACGUGCCAGCAGCCGCGGUAAUACGUAGGGGGCAAGCGUUAUCCGGAUUUACUGGGUGUAAAGGGAGCGCAGACGGCUGUGCAAGUCUGGAGUGAAAGGCGGGGGCCCAACCCCCGGACUGCUCUGGAAACUGUAAAGCUGGAGUGCAGGAGAGGUAAGCGGAAUUCCUAGUGUAGCGGUGAAAUGCGGAGAUAUUAGGAGGAACACCAGUGGCGAAGGCGGCUUACUGGACUGCAACUGACGUUGAGGCUCGAAAGCGUGGGGAGCAAACAGGAUUAGAUACCCUAGUAGUC